rnacentral:rRNA from 1 species
UACGUAGGGUGCGAGCGUUAAUCGGAAUUACUGGGCGUAAAGCGUGCGUAGGCGGUUUGUUAAGUUUGUUGUGAAAGCCCCGGGCUCAACCUGGGAACUGCGAUGGAAACUGGCAAGCUUGAGUGCGGCAGAGGGGGGUGGAAUUCCGCGUGUAGUGGUGAAAUGCGUAGAGAUCCGGAGGAACACCAGUGGCGAAGGCGGCCCCCUGGGCCGCGCCUGACGCUGAGACGCGAAAGCGCGGGGAGCGAACGGG